ensembl:lncRNA LINC01138 long intergenic non-protein coding RNA 1138
AGUAACUAUGGUUUUCCUUUCUCAUUUCAAUUGCCACCUCAAUUGACUGAAAUGUGAACACCAACUCCCGCACUUAAACGUUGAAGCCCUAACACCUACUGUGAUGAUUUAUGCAGCUGGGGCCUUUGAGAGAUUUGUACUACAGUCAGAACAAACAAAUCACUGGAUCCAGCAGAAGCCUUAGAUAUAUGACAUAACAGAGAUUUGCACAAAGAUUUGCCCCAUUGCCUUCUCGAAUUUCUCUUAUCAUCAAUCCAUCUAGCUGGAGCUCUCUGAAGGUCAUCAGAGGGUCUAGGGCUUUGGGAGGACAAGGCUGCAGGCAGCCGAGAUUGUGCCGCUGCACUCCAUCCUGGGCGACAGAGACAAACUGGAAACACAGGUUAUAUCACCAAGGCUUUGACUGAAACAUCAUGUUUUCAGAUAUGACCAGAAGGCUUUAGGGGACUAAAGUUGGCUUUAUGGAACCAAUAAAGUACCAUCUUGGAAAAACUGGCUCUAGGGUUCCCAGACUUACAGUUCUGUUUCAUCAAAUGGAAAUGGGACAUGGACAGUUUCUCCUAUCCCAUGCAGACCAUGCUCCUGAAUUAAAACUGCAGAAUGUGUUAAAGCAUCAUUCAACAUCGUGAGCACAUUUGAGAUACUGUACAGGACAACCUGCUUUUCAUAUUCUCUGUGAAUUUCAAAGACGACUGGGAUUUUCUUCCUCCUCUACCACCCUGAACAGCAAGACCAAUACAUCCUGUAUUUCCUCCUCUUCAGCCUACUUGUGAAGACAAGGAUGAAGACCUCCAUGAUGAGCCAUCUCCACUUAAUGACUGUCUCACAUUGGCCGGCAACUUGUUCCAGUUUGUGUCUUCCAGAUUACAAUAAUUCCAUGUAAAGAUGAUGCUGGCACAAGGCUUUCAACCCAUCCCCUCUUCUGACCCAGAAGAUAAAGACAUCCUACCUUUGAGCCUUUUAGAACAGGUAUCCAGGGAUUUUACCUCUCCAGUGCUAGGCAGGGUCUAUGCCCAUAACAUCAGCAGGAAGCAGUUACAGAAGAUGAACCUCCGCCCUUCUGCAAGCCCCUUAAGAUUAAGGAGGAGUAUAUAAUCUCUGAUGGGGAAAUGAGGUAGGAGACCAGAAGGACUUAUUUUCCAUUCCCAACCCCAUUGAACAGAGCAGGAUCUGGUCAAAACAGGGUGCAGUGGAGAAGCCUGCUGAAACCAGCAGAUGAUGAUGAAAGUGACCUCUAGUUGCCCUCACUGCUUAUGAGCAUAAAGACACUACCACUGGGACCAUGGCCAGUUUACAAAUGUCAUGGCAACACACCUUGGCAAUGGCCUGGAAGUUACUUUAUAUGGUUCUGGAAACUCCCUGCCCCUUUCCCAGAAAGUUCUGAAUAACCUACCUCUUAAUUGGCAUGCAAUUAAAAGUGGCUCUAAAUACAACUAGCUAGUAGCCCACAGGCACAAACUCUGGGCACACUGCCUAUAGGUUAGCCCUGCUCUGCAAGAAGUAGCACCAGUUCAAUAAAAGUUGCUUUCUCUCACCA